rnacentral:rRNA from 1 species
CCUACGGGAGGCAGCAGUGAGGAAUAUUGGUCAAUGGGCUUACGCCUGAACCAGCCAAGUCGCGUGAGGGAAGACUGCCCUAUGGGUUGUAAACCUCUUUUGUCAGGGAGCAACGCCGGCUACGUGUAGCCGGACUGAGAGUACCUGAAGAAAAGGCAUCGGAGAACUCCGUGCCAGCAGCGGCGGUAAUACGGAGGAUGCGAGCGUUAUCCGGAUUUAUUGGGUUAAAAGGGUGCGCAGGCGGAAUGCCAAGUCAGCGGUAAAAUCGCGGGGCUCAACCUCGCUCCGCCGUUGAAACUGGCGUGCUUGAGUGGGCGAGAAGUAGGCGGAAUGCGUGGUGUAGCGGUGAAAUGCAUAGAUAUCACGCAGAACUCCGAUUGCGAAGGCAGCAUACCGGCGCCCAACUGACGCUGAAGCACGAAAGCGUGGGUAUCGAACAGGAUUAGAUACCCCAGUAGUC